GGUCAAGAGUUUCAGCGACACAAGCCCCGGCUUGCUGAGCGGCAACCCUCCCUCGCGGCGGGGUGCCCCGGGUGACGACAGGGCCGCCCGUGGGCGGCAAGCGCGAGAG
rnacentral:ncRNA from 1 species